rnacentral:lncRNA from 1 species
CGUAGGCUCGGACGCAGGUCACGGAGAUGCUGCACUGCACGGCCGCCAGUGUGAGCAGCAGCACCGACGCCUCUGAACCCAGGACAGCCAGGAAGCCCGUAGCCUGGCAGCCCAGACCGCUCUCCCAGCGGGCUCCAUACUCAGCGAACUGACCAUAGGUCAAGGCGUCCACCGAGGCCAGGAGACCACAGGAAAUGCCCGACAGGGCGUUGGCGCCUGCCAUCGCACCCACCACAAGCUUGACGGGGGACAGCGGGCUGGGUCCGCUGGCAAAGACUGUCAGCAGCACCAGCCCGUUACAGAGUACGGAGAGUAACACGAUGGCCCACACAGCAAGGCGGAUGCCCCAGCUCUCAAAGAGGUGCUCGCAGGGCUUGAAGGGGCCUGUGUGAGAGAGGAGCAGAGAUAGAUGUAAGCCCAGAGCCAGAGCUGCCAGAACCCAGCUCACUGGUAAAGCCAUGAUCAGACAACUCCUAACUCAAAGGAGACCAACAGGAGAGAAUUUCUGUCUCAGAAAUAGAGACUUGAAAACUCGAAAAAACAAAAACAAAACAAAAACCUCCCGAAAGGAAAAAAAAAAAAAAAAAACCUCCCGAAAAUGGGGUGGGAGAACUAAGAGGAAGCUGGGAAGAAAAAUACACAGAAAUAGAUGCGUGAUGCAGUGCAAACCCAGACCCGAGGAAAUGCUAAGAAAUUUAGUCUUCCUAAAGGAACACGAUUUGGAGAGAUAGAAGGAACAAACUGUCCGACAGAAGCGAAGAGACGUUCAGGCGAGAGCAAAGGCAGAGUGAGGCGCUGUCCAGAGUCAACUACUUUAUGGUGGUGACUCUGCCCAAGCCAUCAUUGACAUUUCCACGGCAUGAAAUUCUCGAGGCAGAGCCACUGAAGCACCGGUUUCCUAGCAAAAUACACGUCUGCUUCUUUCCCUCAUCCACCACUAGAGGGUGCACUUUGCCGCUAAGCGCUAAAAGCUUGUCAGAAGCAAGGUCAAGGCUGAAAGCUUUCUGGGCAAAGAAAGGUUUUAAGCCAAAGAAAUCUGGAAAUCUGGAAAACGAAGGUGGGAUGAAAUAAAAACAGCUAACUGUUUGUAAUUUUGUGUUUAUUUUGAACAUCUCUUGGCCCACACAGCACUGUGCUGUCUUCUGGCAUGGCCUGCUGGUGUUUUAAUGUUUUGGUUUGGCUUUUUUGAGACAGGUCCCCACUAUGUAGCUCUGGAUGUCCUGGAACUCGAGACGUAGACCAGGCUGGCCUCAAACUUAGAGAUCUGUGUGCCUCUGUGUCCUGAGUACUGGGAUUAAAGGCACACACUACCAUUCCUGGCUCCGUUCACAUUUUAUACACAGGGAAGGGACUCUACUCACUUAAAAUCGAACAAAUGAAAAACUUAGGUUGUUUGGCAUCAAGAAAAAAGAGCCCCUCCCCUUUCUUUCCAGCAACCUGGCUCUCAUGGCCCCAGGUUAGACUCCAGAGGAGGCUUUCCUGGCUCUAAGGAAGUACUUUAGGAAUUAUCCAAAAUUGUUCCACUCUAGAAGACGUUAGUAAAGAGAUUUCACUCUUCUCGGGAUAGAGCAGGUGAUCUUUCAG